GAGCGUAGCGCGCGUUCCUCGGUGGCGGACAUCAUGAGCUUUCUGCUCGACAAACGCUACGCAACUUGUAACUUAGACCUCCAGAUUUGAGAAGCCGUAAAGGCUGUAUGUAGUGUUAGUUUUAAGAGUUUAAAGUUAUUAUCGAAGUUUUAGUUUGUGCUUAAAUUUCAAAUUCCAAGAUGCAACAAUCACUGCUUCCACUAUUAUUAUUAACCAUCAUAGCCGUAUGUUCAACAAAUGAACUACCCUUUUUGACUCGACUUGAACUUGAAAAGAUUUUCGAAGAGCAAGACAACGAUAACACUGAUAAGUUAGAAAAUAUUGAAGCAAUAAUGUUCAAACAACAAUCAACCAAACCUAUUAAAUCCAAAAUAUACGAAGAAGAAAAGGAUCUGGAUAAUCUUAAUGAAUACAACGAUUACCGUAAAGAACUUGACCCGCGAUAUUCCGACACCAUAGACCGGUUUCGUACUCGCAAAAAUGAAGGACGUCACAGACCGAAGGAAAUCAAAAAAAGAGAUACUACAAGAGAUGCCAUUAAAAAGAUUAAAUUGAUCGAAGAUUCAUUAAAAAAUUAUGAUGAGGUCGUGACAAUUAGCCCGUUGCUAAUUCUCAAAAUUCGCUUAUCCUAUUUGACGGAUAAUAUAGCGAACAUGAAGCCAACAAUGUACCAUUAUUCUAUGCCAGUACCCUUAGAUAUCAUGACACAAACAAAAGAAGGCGAAUUAAACAAACUUCUUCAAGAUGAAAUCAGUUAUUCAAACGAUGUUAAGAGUGACGAAGAUGAUGAUGAGAUUGAAGAGUCAAAUACCAACAAAAACAAAAAAGUUGUGAAAAAGAGAAUCUUUUCUCUAUGGAGCAGAUUGCAAGGACUUCACAGGGGCCACGAAUUGCACCACCGACGGCAUCUUCACGCCUUUUACGGUCUUCCUGAUGACGGUGGUGGUGGUGGUGGUGAUAGUACUCUCACAGCUGAAACUCGAGCAACCUUCCUGCGACCACCCGGUUCACCUUUGAGAUGGGGCUGAGUCCCCAGACCAAGAAAACCUCAUAACUAUAAGAAAGUGUCCAAUCAGUUAACGAAGUAAGCAUGCAAAGCUGAAAAGUACAAUAAUUUUGAUCAACGUAGUUGCGUAGGCCGUAGUGAAUACAUAUUUUGAGAUUUUAUUAAUUUGUAUUCAAAUUGUAAACUUUGAUACAAGUAGAUUUUCUUUUUCGAUUUUUAAAUUUGAUCUUAAUCAAAUGUUUUCAUAUGCUUGGGAUUCCUGCUUGUUCAACCUAUUUAAAUUGCGCAGUAUAAAAUUAAUAAUAAUUGAUAUUAUUACCCCAAAUUAACGAUCAAGAAUAGUAGGCAAACAUUAAGCCUAAAUGUAAAAAAAACAAAAAUUAUAGGUAUCUUACAUAAUAUCUUGAACAUGAAUAAAUCAGUUUAUAAUUAUGCAUGAAAUAAAUUAAAACCUAUAUGUAAUUUAGGUACAUUCCUAAGUAAAAAACUAUAUAUCAGAUCUAGAAAAGAAAUAAUAAUAAU